rnacentral:lncRNA from 1 species
AAUAACUCAUUUCGUACCCGAAGGGUCUGCCUAAAUAAUAUUAAUCUUUAUCUUCCUAGGCGGUGUUCCAGGUUUUGAGUUGCCUGUUCCAGCUUUCCCUUUCUUUUCAGAAGGUUUAAGGAUCUGGAAUGAGCAUGUUAGUGAAUCAUCUAUGCUCAUCAUGGCACCAGCAUUGUCGAACUCGCCACAAUAGUUGGGUGCAGAGAAUAUGGUUACGAGCUGACGCUUUGCAAAGAAUUCA